rnacentral:lncRNA from 1 species
UGAUCGUGGGAAGGACUUGGCUAAGCCGUGAAGACUCGAGGCCGCGGAUGGAUGGGUGGUUGGAUAGACUGAUUUACGAUUGAACAUUGUAAUAGCCUAUAGUGCGAACUUAACAAUUGUAUCGAAUCCUUUGUGAUAUAAAUAAAGAAAUCAGAUUAUCAUUCAGCAUAUUGACUCUAAUAAAACACAUAUAGACUCUAUCUUAUGAAUCUCAGAAUUGUCCGAAUUUGACUUAAGAAUAAUCAGACCUUAAAAACUGACUGGUCGGCCUGGUCAAGCCAUGGCCGAACCUAAGG